AGAAUACUCAUUCUCUAGGCAGCAGACAAAAGACUUGAAGACAUGCACAGCUGAAGGAAAUGAAAAGGCGACAAGGCUAAGAGAACAAAGAUGAGCAUUGUCACGGUCCAGAGGCUGGUGGUGGAGGAAGCAUUCUCUAUGCUGGUGCCUCUAUUGGAACUUUCAGGAAAUGAACAUGAAUGUUGCCCUAAGAUUAUCUUGUGAGGCAGCCGGUCUAGCCUACCGGAGGAGAAGCAGUUUUGUGGAGAAGAUUCCAGGCGUCCCUGCCUACACCACCGACUCCAGACAUAUGAGGAGGAGUAGUUUGCCACUGACACUGUUCAGAACUGCUGGCACUUGGUGAUGAUAAUCCAAGAUGCCAUCUUUUUGGGUUGCGUUCUUGGCUUUUACUCUUGCUUGGACUUUGACUUCAGGGUUGAAGAAGUUGUCACAAUGCAAUACCCACACUUCUUUGACUGGCCUUUGAGAUCACUUUUCAACCUUUGUAAUCCAAUAGGAAAAUCACAAAGAACAGUUUCAUAAACUGAUAAAAGUCAAAAAUGAGUAUAGGAGAAAUGGUACAUUACAUGCAAAUAAACAGCAAUCAGAAGAAAGAACA
rnacentral:lncRNA from 13 species